GGGCUGUGAUGAAAUCUAGAGAAAGUCAUGCACCACUCUGAUAUCAGUGAUGUGAAAUUUCUCAUACCCAUAAUACUUUCUGAGCUC